rnacentral:rRNA from 1 species
GUGGCGAACGGGUGAGUAACACGUGAGUAACCUYGCCCCUGACUYCUGGGAUAAGCGUUGGAAACGACGUCUAAUACUGGAUAUGAUCACUYGGCCGCAUGGUCUGGUGGUGGAAAGAUUUUUUYGGUUGGGGAUGGACUCGCGGCCUAUCAGCUUGUUGGUGAGGUAAUGGCUCACCAAGGCGACGACGGGUAGCCGGCCUGAGAGGGUGACCGGCCACACUGGGACUGAGACACGGCCCAGACUCCUACGGGAGGCAGCAGUGGGGAAUAUUGCACAAUGGGCGAAAGCCUGAUGCAGCAACGCCGCGUGAGGGAUGACGGCCUUCGGGUUGUAAACCUCUUUUAGUAGGGAAGAAGCGAAAGUGACGGUACCUGCAGAAAAAGCACCGGCUAACUACGUGCC